UACGUAGGUGGCAAGCGUUGUCCGGAUUUACUGGGCGUAAAGAGCGCGCAGGCGGUCGUCCAAGUCGCGUGUGAAAGCCCCCGGCUCAACUGGGGAGGGUCACGCGAUACUGGUCGACUCGAAGGCAGGAGAGGGUAGUGGAAUUCCCGGUGUAGUGGUGAAAUGCGUAGAUAUCGGGAGGAACACCUGUGGCGAAGGCGGCCACCUGGGCCGACCCUGACGCUGAGGCGCGAAGGCGUGGGGGAGCGAACGGG
rnacentral:rRNA from 1 species